rfam:Salmo salar isolate Sally breed double haploid chromosome ssa23, whole genome shotgun sequence.
CCUAAUUGCUCCUGUAAGUCACUCUGGAUAAGAGCGUCUGCUAAAUGACUAAAA